GACAGAGGCCCCAAGCGUUAGGCGGAAUCACUGGGCUUAAAGCGUGUGUAGGCGGAUCGUUAAGUGUCUUGUGAAAUCCCACGGCUCACCCGUGGAACUGCUGGGCAUACUGGCGAUCUUGGGCCAACUAGGGGCAGUCGGAACAAGCGGUGGAGCGGUGAAAUGCGUAGAUAUCAAGAGGAACACCUGAGGCGAAGGCGGGUUGCUAGGCUGACACUGACGCUGAGGCGCGAAAGCUAGGGUAGCAAACGGG
rnacentral:rRNA from 1 species